rnacentral:rRNA from 1 species
AGGACGAACGCUGGCGGCGUGCUUAACACAUGCAAGUCGAGCGGAAAGGCCCUUCGGGGUACUCGAGCGGCGAACGGGUGAGUAACACGUGAGUAAUCUGCCCCUAGCUCUGGGAUAGCUCCGGGAAACCGGGAUUAAUACCGGAUACGACCACUUUAGACAUCUGUUGUGGUGGAAAGAAUUUUGGCUAGGGAUGAGCUCGCGGCCUAUCAGCUUGUUGGUGGGGUAACGGCCUACCAAGGCGACGACGGGUAGCCGGCCUGAGAGGGCGACCGGCCACACUGGGACUGAGACACGGCCCAGACUCCUACGGGAGGCAGCAGUGGGGAAUAUUGCGCAAUGGGCGAAAGCCUGACGCAGCGACGCCGCGUGGGGGAUGAAGGCCUUCGGGUUGUAAACCCCUUUCAGCAGGGACGAAGCGAAAGUGACGGUACCUGCAGAAGAAGCGCCGGCUAACUACGCGCCAGCAGCCGC